GGAUCAUCCAUCAUCACAUCGAGGGAUCAGCAAAGGGUACCGUGUUGUGCUUCCUCACGAGUCACGUACGCAGUUUACAGGAAUUUGACCCCAACGACUACUCUCCACUCACUCCUGCCCACUUCACUAUUGGUCGGCCGCUGACUGCACCUGCAGAGAGUGAUGUUACCGCUGCAACCACGCACACACUCAAUCGUUACCAGCGAGUUGAACAGCUGAGGCAGACAUUUUGGAGGAGAUGGUCUACAGAGUACAUAUCAGAGCUUCAGAAACGUACUAAAUGGCAACAGAAAACUGAAGACUUGCAAACUGGAACAUUGGUUGUCAUAAAGGACGAUAACCUUCCGCCGCUGAAAUGGCGGUUAGGACGCAUAAUAACUCUGAUUUCAGGCAGUGACGGCGUACCAAGGGUUGCUGUCAUUCGGACGGCCACGGGCGUUAUACACAGGGCAUUCUCAAAGAUAUGCCCACUUCCGGUCGCUGAGGUGCCAGGUUCGAGGCUCGGCGCGUGACACGACGUGAGCUGAGAUGUUGAGAGGGAGUCUCUCAAGGCCCGCCGGAAUGUUAAGAAGAGCCAUCUAUUGGAGCGCGUGAGAAGCUCCAACUAAAGAUCAAUGGCAAUACUAUCACCGAGCACACCGCAUCGAUUACGUCACGCGAUGUCAAGAAACCACAACAGAUGGCGCUGAAGCACACCUAUAUAAACGAUUGCACAGACGCUUAACGUCUCUCAUUCUCAUUUGAACUUUCAACUGAAAUAUUGUAAACGCUUUAUUGUAAAGUAAUAAAUCCCAGUAUAUCUUCAAA